GCCUGCCGAAAAGAACAAACCAAGAACCAGAAUUAAAAUAAACUAAGCAAACGUUGAGUAAUUCACACUAAGGUCCUCUGUAGCUUAAAUGAUGGUCGGUAUGAUCAGAGUUAUUUGACUUACAAAACAAAAUUACCAAACUAACAAGCAAAAAUCUCACUGAAGUAGCACACCAAACAAAGAAGCAAAAACAUUUUCUUUUUUAUCAUUUUAAUGCUACAUUAACACAGGUUCACCUCAAUGUACACAUAAAUGUAAAGCAUGCAAACAUCCACACUCACAUAUAGAGUCAACUUUAAAACAUCAUAAAUGCCCAAACAAUAAAAAUAAAAUAACCAAAUUACCAACUCAAUCUCUCUCUCCACAG
rnacentral:misc_RNA from 1 species